ACGUACAGUGCCCGUUGAGGUUGAAUAAUUUGAAACAUAUUUUUCAUCUUGAAGGAGUCCUCGUGAAGUCUCUCCACUGCUAAAAUCUCCUCCAACGAACCACUGGCUGCUCCUGCGGCAUCGUUGGAUGCUGCUUUGCGGCACCACUACUAUUGCUACUGGUCGAUAUUAAUUCUAGAAAUUGCUUCACUGCUUGGAUAUGUCUUUCUGUGUAGAAUUCUCUGUAACAGGCGAAUUACAUUGCAUUAAGAUAAAGAAAAAUAAUCUACGAGACUGUAA